AUUGAACGCUGGCGGCAGGCCUAACACAUGCAAGUCGAACGGUAACAGGAAACAGCUUGCUGUUUCGCUGACGAGUGGCGGACGGGUGAGUAAUGUCUGGGAAACUGCCUGAUGGAGGGGGAUAACUACUGGAAACGGUAGCUAAUACCGCAUAACGUCGCAAGACCAAAGAGGGGGACCCUCGGGCCUCUUGCCAUCGGAUGUGCCCAGAUGGGAUUAGCUUGUUGGUGGGGUAACGGCUCACCAAGGCGACGAUCCCUAGCUGGUCUGAGAGGAUGACCCGGCACACUUGAACUGAGGAAAGGUCCAAACUCCUACCGGGAGCCGGCGGUGGGGAAUAUUGCACAAAGGGCGCAAGCCUGAUGCAGCCAUGCCGCGUGUAUGAAGAAGGCCUUCGGGUUGUAAAGUACUUUCAGCGGGGAGGAAGGGAGUAAAGUUAAUACCUUUGCUCAUUGACGUUACCCGCAGAAGAAGCACCGGCUAACUCCGUG
rnacentral:rRNA from 1 species